CAGUCGCCGCGGUAACACGUAUGUCACAAGCGUUAUCCGGAUUUAUUGGGCGUAAAGCGCGUCUAGGUGGUUAUGUAAGUCAGAUGUGAAAAUGCAGGGCUCAACUCUGUAUUGCGUUGGAAACUGUGUAACUAGAGUACUGGAGAGGUAAGCAGAACUACAAGUGUAGAGGUGAAAUUCGUAGAUAUUUGUAGGAAUGCCGAUGGGGAAGCCAGCUUACUGGACAGAUACUGACGCUAAAGCGCGAAAGCGUGGGUAGCAAACAGGAUUAGAUACCCCCGUAGUCCCUGUCUCUUAUACA
rnacentral:rRNA from 1 species